GACGUAGGGCGCGAGCGUUGUCCGGAUUUAUUGGGCGUAAAGAGCUCGUAGGCGGCUUGUUGCGUCGACUGUGAAAUCCCGAGGCUCAACCUCGGGCCUGCAGUCGAUACGGGCAAACUAGAGUGUGGUAGGGGAGACUGGAAUUCCUGGUGUAGCGGUGAAAUGCGCAGAUAUCAGGAGGAACACCGGCGGCGAAGGCGGGUCUCUGGGCCAUAACUGACGCUGAGGAGCGAAAGCGUGGGGAGCGAACAGG
rnacentral:rRNA from 1 species